CUAAAAGCACAGUGCUGGCCAGAUCAAGACACCAUCACAAAAGACAGGAAAUAAGACGACCCCAAAUUUCUGACAGCUGCUGCUAAAAGCAAGAGAAUGUGACCAUGAACAUCAAGGAGGAAAUAUGAGUUGUAGUACCUUCACAUUGCUGAUCGCCCCAUCAUACUUUUUUAUUACUUUAGAUCAGUAGUUCUCUAGCUUUUCUAGGUAGCAGCCCACUUUUAAAUUUGUUAUGAACUCCUAGGAUUUUGUGAGACCAGUUAUAAAAGAAUGACACUUCAUGUCACUGCAACCACAGUGCAAAUGUUUAGAGGGUACACAAGCUAAAGGUUUAGGAAAGUAGAAGAUAGAGUAGGGGAAGUGUAAAUGGAGAAAAAAACCCCAAAAGAACACUACAAUAUCUUAGGUUAUUACCUAAGUUGAAAUUGUCUUCAUUUGUGUCUUUUUCUCCAACAACCUAAUGCCGUUUGAAGGACACUGCUUUAGAUCCGCCUGGUCCGGAUCCGCCUUGUGCACCUGAAAGCUAACGGUGACAACCCACAGAUAAUGCUUAUAGAGUGGAGGAAGCAACCAGGAAAAGUGGCAGAAGUUAUACCCACACUUCCCACUCAAAGGGUAUUCCCACCCUAUUACUUCUGGAUGUCUAGAUAGAAACAGAUGCUAAGUGUGCUUUAUCCACAUGUGGUGGGUAGAUAACAUUUUCCUUUCCAAUGCUGACCUGGCCAUAAUUAUCCAUGCUUCCUCACCAGGUGGCUAGAUUGCUGUCAAGCAUGCUACAAGUGGUAGUUAUAUCAUUCACAAACAGCAGUGACACAGUCAUUACCAGGUGCUUCUCACUUGGAUGACAGUGACAGAUGGAGACUGCCAAUUUAUCUCCAGGUAAAAUUCAAGGUAUGCCUGGACUAUAGGGUGAAUUUGUUACCAGGGUUUUCAAAGGAUUUAUUUUUAAAACACUUAUUAUGUAUAUCACUUGUUAAAAUAUAUAUUUUUAAAUAUAUGAGAGGCUUGAUUCUUUGGUAGUUUAAGGAGGUCUUAUGGUGGGUGUAAAUAUAAUUUAGUCAGGUGAGCUGUAGAUGUUUCCCUGCUAUAAAUAAAAAUCAGAUCUGAAAUGU